rnacentral:rRNA from 1 species
UACGUAGGUGGCAAGCGUUUGUCCGGAAUUAUUGGGCGUAAAGCGCGCGCAGGCGGUCCUUUAAGUCUGAUGUGAAAGCCCACGGCUCAACCGUGGAGGGUCAUUGGAAACUGGGGGACUUGAGUGCAGAAGAGGAAAGCGGAAUUCCACGUGUAGCGGUGAAAUGCGUAGAGAUGUGGAGGAACACCAGUGGCGAAGGCGGCUUUCUG